CUGAAGCACUGAAGUUGUUUGCAAUCGUUGACAGUUGAGAACGUAUGUGGGACUAUUGUGUAAUGCGAGCUUCUCUGCGCUGGGUGCUCUGGGAUGUGAAAGACACCCUGCUGAAGGUGCGUGCAUCUGUGGGAGAGCAGUAC